CCUACGGGCGGCUGCAGUGGGGAAUAUUGCACAAUGGAGGGAACUCUGAUGCAGCGACGCCGCGUGAGCGAUGAAGGCUUUCGAGUCGUAAAGCUCUGUCGAAUGGGAAGAUAAUGACGGUACCAUUUGAGAAAGCCCCGGCUAACUACGUGCCAGCAGCCGCGGUAAUACGUAGGGGGCGAGCGUUGUCCGGAAUUAUUGGGCGUAAAGGGUUCGUAGGCGGCAAUGUAUGUCAGGUGUGAAAGACGGUGGCUCAACCAACGCAAGCAUCUGAAACUGCAUAGCUUGAGAAAAGGAGAGGUAAGUGGAAUUCCUAGUGUAGCGGUGAAAUGCGUAGAUAUUAGGAGGAAUACCAGUGGCGAAGGCGACUUACUGGACUUUAACUGACGCUGAUGAACGAAAGCGUGGGGAGCAAACAGGAUUAGAUACCCCAGUAGUC
rnacentral:rRNA from 2 species